rnacentral:rRNA from 1 species
AUUUGAUUUGAAUUAUUUAUAUUAUUAUAAAUUUUAAAAAAAAUAAUUUAAUUUUUUAGUAUUAAUAAGAAAAAAAACUUAUAAUGAUAGUAAAUUAGUAUGGUGAUAGAAUUAUAUUAUAUAUUAAAAAGAAAAUUUAAUUUGUUGUACCUUGUGUAUCAGGGUUUAUUAAAAUUUAAUUAAAUAUUUAAUAUUCUCGAUUUAAUAAGAGUUAAUAAAUUAUAUAUUUAAUUGUUGAAUAAAUUUUUAUAAUAAUUUAUUAGAAAUGAAAUGUUAUUCGUUUAUUAAUAUAUCUAGUUUUUAAAGAAAAAAAUUCAAUUUUUUUAUUUAAGUUAAAUUAAUUUAAUUUUAAAUUAAUUUUUAUUAAAUAAUUAUAUUUUUUAGGAUUAGCUAAAAAAUAAAAUAUUAAAAAUUAAUGUAUUAUUUAAUAAUUUAUAGGAUUAGUAAUUUUUAUUUAUAGUUUGUUAUAAUUAAUUAUUAAAAAUUAUAAUUUAUAUUAAUUUUAAGUUUUUUAUUUAAAUAAUUUAUUUAAUUAUAAAAUAAAUUUAAUAAUGGUAAAAUUAGUAUAAAUUUAUGUUAAGAAAAAUUGAGUUUUUAGGUAAUAUAAAGGAAUUCGGCAAGAAAGUUUUUCGCCUGUUUAUUAAAAACAUGUCUUUUAGAUUAUAAUUUAAAGUCUGACCUGCCCAAUGAUUAAGUAAAUGGCCGCAGUAUUUUGACUGUGCAAAGGUAGCAUAAUAAUUAGUUUUUUAAUUAAAAGCUGGAAUGAAUGGUUGAACGAGAAAACAACUGUCUCUGUAUUAAUUUUUUAGAAUUUUAUUUUUAAGUUAAAAAGCUUAAAUUAUAUUUAAAGACGAGAAGACCCUAUAGAGUUUUAUAUAUAAUUAUACUUAAUAAAUUAAGAAUUAAAUUUAUUAAGGAUAUUAAUAUAUUUUGUUGGGGUGAUAGAAAAAUUUAAUUAACUUUUUUUAUAUUUUUACAUAAAUAAAUGAUUUAUUGAUCCAUUUUUUAUGAUUAUAAGAAUAAAUUACCUUAGGGAUAACAGCGUAAUUUCUUUAAAGAGCUCAAAUCGAAAAAGAAGAUUGCGACCUCGAUGUUGGAUUAAAUUAAUUUUUGGUGUAGAAGCUGAAAAAAUUAGGUCUGUUCGACCUUUAAAAUUUUACAUGAUCUGAGUUUAAACCGGUGUGAGCCAGGUUGGUUUCUAUCUUUAAUUUAUAGUUAUAUUUUAGUACGAAAGGACCAAAUAUAAGUAAUAUUUAUUUAAAUUGAAUGUUAUUAUUAUUUU